AGCUGGCUGGCUCAGUUGGAAGAGCAUGCAACUCUUAACCUCUAGGUCAUGAGUUCGAGCCCCAUGUUAGCUA
rnacentral:tRNA from 1 species